rnacentral:rRNA from 1 species
UACGUAGGUGGCAAGCGUUGUUCGGAAUUAUUGGGCGUAAAGCGCGUGUAGGCGGCUCGGUAAGUCUGCUCUGAAAGCCCGGGGCUCAACCCUGGGAGGCGGGUGGAUACUGCUGAGCUCGAGUCCGGAAGAGGCGAGUGGAAUUCCUGGUGUAGCGGUGAAAUGCGCAGAUAUCAGGAGGAACACCAAUGGCGAAGGCAGCUCGCUGGAACGGUACUGACGCUGAGACGCGAAAGCGUGGGGAGCAAACAGG